rnacentral:lncRNA from 1 species
AUUUCAGCUGGGCCUCCUUCGCCAGAGUCCUCUGCAUCUUUCAGCCUCCCCCUCAGACUUGCCUGUUGGAGAGCUUACAGGAGAAGGACAAAGGGGGCUGUGAUGGAAGAGGGCUUUGCAGAGCCCAGCUUACUGCCUCUCUGCUAAGUGACUUUGCUCUCUGCCUUGUCACAGUGAAACCAGUGUUCUGGUUUCAUGGCCUUCUCUUGGGUUGAAGCCUAUGAAAGGCAAGCAGAAUAUCUUGGAAAACAGACUUUGUGUGUCUCAGCCCCAAUGGUGAGCUCCAGAGAGAUGGCACACGGCGGUGCAUCAGUUUCAAAGGGGCAAAGAAAAGCAAGACGAGGGUUUCCAGGAAGCUGCCAUACAGCCUGAGUGCUUCGAGCAUUCUGUCCAAGUUGUUUUCCAUGAAAGGAAAGUCAUCCUGCCUCUGACAAGACUGGGUGCCUGCCCUCCCAUAAAUAGAAUAGGCCAUAGCCACCAGAAAACUCAAAUUUAAAAUGGCUUCAACGAUAAAGAAGAAUUAUUAUUCCACAUUAUAAAAGAUCCUAAUGUGGAGAGUAUCCAGAAUGGGUGAAGUUAGCAGCUCAAGAAUAUCAUCAAGGACUUACCUUCUUUCUGGGUGUAUGAUGGCUGCUACAUGCUGUGAGUCAUGUGCUGACGUGAAAAUGUACAUUGAAAGAAAAUAGUGACUUCCUGUGUACCUCAUUUACUCCUGGAGGUACAUGAAUCAACCUCUACACCACUCAGCAGACUUCCCUCAGGUCUUUUUUGGCCAGAAAUGUGUCAUACGGUCAUGCUUAAACCAAUCUCUGGCAAGAAGAAAAGCAGAUGUGACUGAGUUACACAAAUCAUGUUUCGAUUCCUGUAGCUACCCUCAAACACAUGGCCAUGUAGUAGGAAGGGUAGUAGAGAAUGUACCAAAAAAAGUCUGAGGUUGAGUGAGUGGGUAGUUGUCACAGUGGUGAUGAUGACUGACUGCAAUGUGCCAGCAGACAUAAGCAAAGGGGACAGCUUCCUUUAAUGUAGGUAUAGAAUUCAUCUGCCAUGCACAAAGGAGAGCAGGAGGCGUGGCUGCAAUGCUGGCUGGAGGCAUAAGUCUCUCUGGCUUUGGUGCCCCCAGGCAGUACCAAGCUGCAAAGGAUAAUACCUGACCUGGGUGACACUCAGCCCAGCUCCCUGAGACACUCCUUUUACCUUUCUAACAAGGUUUUUGAAUGCCUUCCUUGCCCCUCACUACUUCUCUGAAGACUCUGCCUAUAGUGCUGCUAGCCCACAAGGUGUAAAUAACAGGCGAAAACCCCAACAUCUUCCUCACUGAAAGAAUGGGUGAAUUGAAAGCUAAUCUUUCAAAUUUACUGCCUCCUAGCACUGUGGUUCUCAUCCUUGUCUUCAUACUAGCAUAGUCUGAAGGUCUUGUAAAAAUUCCAGUGUCCAGCCUACACUCUAGAGCAAUUAAGUUACAAUCUUGAGGGAUAGGACCCAAGCAUCAGUAUUUUUUAAAGCUCCUAAGGUGAGUCUAAUGUUCAGCCAAUGUUAAGAACAUUUGCUCUAGUGGCACAGAGUUUAGGCUCUGCGAAAGAUCCAUUCAGCAAAAAGUCAGAUAAUCCAGGAUAGAUGACAGUUUAGCAAAGUGAGGAAGAUUAAAGAUGAUUGGGAAAGAAUAUUGCUUGGUCCAACCUCAAAAAGCAUUUAAAUAUGGAUGCUGUAUAUAUUAGCACAAUAUAUGUUUGCUAUUAUGACUUUAUAUUGAUCAUAAUGAUAAUGUUAUUGAUAAGGUUUUUAUGAAGGGAAAAAUUUGAAUUUAAUUUAUGAGAAAUCAAAGAAUCUAACCCUGAGAAAUGGAUAGUGGGAUGAUUUAUUUUUUUUAAGUUAAUAAUUGAUUUUCUUCAGAUAUUCUCUCAAUUGUUACUGCUGUUUUCUUAGAAAUCAACUUUUUUUCCUCUACCUAUUUCAUUUCAAUUUAUUUCAUCCUUUAAAUAUUCCAUGUGGUGGGGGUGGGGAGAGGUUAAGGAAAUAGUUUAAUUGAAAGUAGUGUUUUAUUUUCAAGUGUGCUAAAUUGGUAUCUCCAAUGACUAUACAAUAAGGUCUAAUUUUUAAGGGGUUUUAAAUAAAUUAAAUUAAAAUAUAAAUUAAUAGAGACAUUUUUCAGAAUUUUAUGAAAACCUGGAAAGUCAAACUUUGUAAAAAUUCUUAUGGAUAACAUUGUGUUUAUUUUUUAUUACUUGGGAGAAUUAAUUAAAUCAAUUAUAGAAGAACAAGGUAGUAUCUUCACAAAUAAACCACAUAUACAUUUCUUUUCCUUUUUUCCUCCUUUACGACUAAAUUAACUAUUUGGUCCAUAGAUUACAAAAUAAUAAGGCAACUGGCAAUGGAACUAAGGGAGAACAAACAUCACCUGGAAAUCAUGGAUUCUCAUAAAAUUUGUUCAAUGGCGUCCCUUCUGGAUGCAGUAAAUGAAUAUCCUUUCAUUGCAUUUCAUUGAGGAGGAAAUGUGUGCAUUUGUGUUUAUACUCUGGAGAGCUGAAUCAUGAUAAGUGAGUGCAUUUUUGGAAUCACACAUAUGGAAAGAAGAGCAUAGCUGUUUUGGACACCCAAGAAGUGGACUGUUGAAGAUAACGUUUCAGGGUUGUCUGUUCAGCUUACCACUCUUCUCUGAAGAAGAGUGAUGUUUGUAGCAUCUUAAUACUAAUCUCUUUGGAACUAAGGUAGACACGUGAUGAGAAAAUUAGGUUCUUUCUUUAGGAAGUUUGAAUUGAGAGGUACAGAGAUUAGGAACAAGGAGUCAUGUUAAUAGCAGAACAAUAAAGUGAAGAAUAACAGGUUUCUGCUCCAGAUGUUCCAGAACUCCCUGGUUUCCUCCAUUCCUGAGUCCUGUUUUUCAACAUUCUAUUUUAUUUCAUGAUAUACAACAGUACACUUUCAAUAAAGUAUAUUUUUGUUUGUUUAAGCUAGAUUGAUGUUGUUUUCUGUUACAUGCGACGAAAAGAACCAUGACAAGGAUUCUCGGCUUGUAAGCAGUUUGAAAUCCUCAUAAGCAUCUUUUCCAUUUUUCAGAUUAAUGAACUGAGACUUGAAGAGGUUUAGUCAAUUGCAUAAAGUUACAAAACUAUCUGCAAAACACAUCGCAGACUUGAGGCUUAUAAUGCCCAUAAUACUUUUUCAAGUUAAUAUCUUUAUACAGUUAAAGAAAAAAUAAAGCAAAUUUACCUUGUGGCAGGUAAUAGGACAUUAAAUGAUUUAAUAACACCUAGAAAAAAACUGGCAUUAAUUAGAUAGGAAUUAUGUGUUAUAUGCAAACAUAAUUUUAUUAAUGCUAAAAAUUUAACUGAGACAUUAGCCUCUACUAAUUAGGAUAUUGAGGAAAACAUGACUAAUUCCUUCAAAGUCUUCCUGCUGGUAAAUUAUGAUGAUGAGAUGUGAUUCCAGCUCUUACUGAGUCCAAUGUUUGCUUUCCAUUUCUAUACUAAGAACAAAAUCUUAGAAAACUAAGCUUGAAAGUUAGAGUUUAUUUACCUGUUAACCAUCUUAACAUUUGUUUUCAAUAUGUUUUUAAGUAACUCUAAGUCUCCAUAGAUGCUACAGAAGCGUGCCUGCCAAUUCUCAUUGAUAGGUCUUAUUUCUGUGUAAAUAAAGCAUCUCUGAUGACAACAUGUGAUUUACCAGAGCUUGGAGCCAUAAGUGGAAAACGAAAAAAGUGAAAAUCGCUUUUAAGAGGAUUCUGAACAGCAAAAUUAGACUCUAGACAUAGUGAAAAUUCUUUCUGCCUUUUAUUUCCUGAGUGCUGUUAAAACUUCUGCCAUUGAAAGUUUUCGUUAUACUAGAAUUCCCUCAUUUAAAACUGAUCAUUGAUAUUUUGAUCUAAUUGUUCGAGACCUGGUUCCAUGUUACUUCCUCAAUGAACAUCCUCCAUCAAGCCUUUACUGAGAACUCUUAGCAUUGACAAGCUGAUUGUAAAGGUCAUGUGGAGAUUCAAGGAACCCAGAAUAGCCAAAAAAGAAGAACAAAGUUGGUGGGUCCACACUUCUGGAUUUCAAAACUUUCUAUAAAGCUACAAUAAUCAAGACAGUAUGGUGCUGACAGAAAGGUAAAUAUACAGAUCGGUGGAAUAAAAUCGAGAGUUCAGAAAUAAACCCUUACAUUUAGUCAAUUGCCUUUUGAUAAGGGUGCCAAGACAAUUCAUUGGGAAGAGAAUGGUCCAACAAAUGGUCCUGGGAUAACUGGAUAUCCAAAAAAUGAAGAUGGACCCCUACCACGUAUGAUAUGAAAAUUAUCUCAAAUGGAACAUAGAACUAAAUGUAAGAGCUCAAAAUAUUAAGACCUUAGAAAAUAGUUUAGGCGUAAAUCCUUGUGAGCUUGGAAUAGCAAUGGUUUUUAAGAUAUGAUGCCAAAGACACAAGUAACAAAAUAAAAUAUAGAUGAGUGAACUUUAUAAACAUUUUUUUAAAAAAACAUAGUGCUUUAAUGAACAUUAUCAAGAAAGCAAAAAAGAACCCAAGAAAUGGGAGAAAAUAAUUACAAAUCAUACAUUUAAUAAAGAAUUAGUAUCCAG